rnacentral:rRNA from 1 species
GACGAACCGUGCGAACGUUGUUCGGAAUCACUGGGCGUAAAGCGACCGCAGGCGGCCUGACAAGUCGGAUGUGAAAGCCCUGGGCUCAACUCAGGAAUUGCAUUCGAAACUGGUAGGCUCGAGUACGGGAGAGGGGGGUGGAAUUCCUGGUGUAGGGGUGAAAUUCGUUGAUAUCAGGAGGAACACCGGCGGCGAAGGCGGCCCCCUGGCCCGCAACUGACGCUCAUGGUCGAAAGCGUGGGGAGCAAACAGG